rnacentral:rRNA from 1 species
GACGAACGCUGGCGGCGUGCUUAACACAUGCAAGUCGAACGAUGAACCACUUCGGUGGGGAUUAGUGGCGAACGGGUGAGUAACACGUGGGCAAUCUGCCCUGCACUCUGGGACAAGCCCUGGAAACGGGGUCUAAUACCGGAUACGACCCGCCGAGGCAUCUCGGCGGGUAGAAAGCUCCGGCGGUGCAGGAUGAGCCCGCGGCCUAUCAGCUUGUUGGUGAGGUAACGGCUCACCAAGGCGACGACGGGUAGCCGGCCUGAGAGGGCGACCGGCCACACUGGGACUGAGACACGGCCCAGACUCCUACGGGAGGCAGCAGUGGGGAAUAUUGCACAAUGGGCGGAAGCCUGAUGCAGCGACGCCGCGUGAGGGAUGACGGCCUUCGGGUUGUAAACCUCUUUCAGCAGGGAAGAAGCGCAAGUGACGGUACCUGCAGAAGAAGCGCCGGCUAACUACGUGCCAGCCGCCGCGGUAAAAC